GUGCCAGCAGCCGCGGUAAUACGUAGGGUGCGAGCGUUAAUCGGAAUUACUGGGCGUAAAGCGUGCGCAGGCGGUUUUAUAAGCCAGAUGUGAAAGCCCCGGGCUCAACCUGGGAAUGGCAUUUGGGACUGUAAGGCUGGAGUAUGGCAGAGGAGACUAGAAUUCCUGGUGUAGCAGUGAAAUGCGUAGAUAUCAGGAGGAAUACCGAUGGCGAAGGCAGGUCUCUGGGCCAAUACUGACGCUCAUGCACGAAAGCGUGGGGAGCAAACAGGAUUAGAUACCCCCGUAGUCC
rnacentral:rRNA from 1 species